UACGUAGGGUGCAAGCGUUGUCCGGAAUUAUUGGGCGUAAAGAGCUCGUAGGCGGUUUGUCGCGUCGGCUGUGAAAACCUGGGGCUCAACCCCGGGCCUGCAGCCGAUACGGGCAAACUAGAAUUCGGUAGGGGAGACUGGAAUUUCUGGUGUAGCGGUGAAAUGCGCAGAUAUCAGGAGGAACACCGGUGGCGAAGGCGGGUCUCUGGGCCGUAACUGACGCUGAGGAGCGAAAGCGUGGGGAGCGAACAGG
rnacentral:rRNA from 1 species